AUUGAACGCUGGCGGCAUGCCUUACACAUGCAAGUCGAACGGCAGCGGGCCUUCGGGUGCCGGCGAGUGGCGAACGGGUGAGUAAUGCAUCGGAACGUGCCAUUGAGUGGGGGAUAACGUAGCGAAAGUUGCGCUAAUACCGCAUAUUCUGUGAGCAGGAAAGCAGGGGACCGCAAGGCCUUGCGCUCUUUGAGUGGCCGAUGUCAGAUUAGCUAGUUGGUGAGGUAAAGGCUUACCAAGGCGACGAUCUGUAGCGGGUCUGAGAGGAUGAUCCGCCACACUGGAACUGAGACACGGUCCAGACUCCUACGGGAGGCAGCAGUGGGGAAUUUUGGACAAUGGGGGCAACCCUGAUCCAGCCAUGCCGCGUGAGUGAAGAAGGCCUUCGGGUUGUAAAGCUCUUUCGGCCGGGAAGAAAUCGCAUGGGUGAAUACCCUGUGUGGAUGACGGUACCGGAACAAGAAGCACCGGCUAACUACGUGCCAGCAGCCGCGGUAAUACGUAGGGUGCGAGCGUUAAUCGGAAUUACUGGGCGUAAAGCGUGCGCAGGCGGUUUGGUAAGACAGGCGUGAAAUCCCCGGGCUUAACCUGGGAACUGCGCUUG
rnacentral:rRNA from 1 species